AAUCUUUAGGCCGAGCGGUUAUGGCGCUAGUUUCAGGAAAUGACUAGAGUUUUUCUCUGGCUUUGAAUUUACUAGUUCGAAAGAGCGUGGGUUCGAAUCCCACAGUCAUCA
rnacentral:tRNA from 1 species